GCUGGGAUACCGAAGUGGCCAAACGGAGCUGUCUGUAAAACAGCUGGCUUAUGCCUACGCAGGUUCGAAUCCUGCUCCCAGCACCA
rnacentral:tRNA from 1 species